rnacentral:tRNA from 1 species
GGAUUGUGGCUCAGUGGUAGAGUGCUUGCCUAGCAUGUAUGAGGCACUGGAUUCGAUCCUCAGCACCA